AGGACGCUGCUCAGAGUCGAGGUGCCAUUUGAGAUGAAAGUGGCGCUCAGGUUUGUGGUGAAGAUCUGACCUGAGGGGGGAAGGCCUUUGACCAGCCAGCUGAUCUGGGGCGGGGGCCUUCCACCGACAGCAGAGCACGACACCGACUGGUACUGUAUUGCCCCUCUACGUCCACACUGCGCACCCUCACCCGAACUGUGAGGUUGGUGACAGAGUCCGGUUCUGAGAAGUCACUGUCGCGGCUGAAUGGUUUUCCAUUGGAAAAUCCCACCAGCCGCUUGGCUUUGCUUUUAACCCGACGUUUCCACUCACUGUGCACGAUCUGACUGUCGCCCAGAUACCUGCAGCUCAGACUGGCUUGUUUGCGGGGCACAAUUUGUCAACCUGCGAGGAAAAGUGCAAAUGUGGAAGGGGGAAGGCAAACACGCCUUGCAGGGGCUCAGCAGCGCUCAACAGCGCUCAACAGAGGCUGCCAACUUUUUCCUUUUUGUUAAAGCUGAUCAGCUUUAGUGUUGAGUCAUGCAGACCACAGGAGGAUGUCAGUGAAUGAAAUGACCCGACAAAGAAAAAAAAAAUGCCAACGCAUUCUGAUCGUGUGGUUUGUAACGGCUUUUUGAAUGAUCCGUUAUGAAACUGGCAGAGAGCCUGAGAUCGUAUGUACCUCGUCAAAGUUGGUUUUACAACAAAGACAAUAAUCUCAGCAUCCGCUGGUCUCAACAUGGAUAUUACACUUCUUGCAGACUUAACUUAAACCAUAACCAUAAACACAACCUGUCUAAACUGAACCAUACUCUAAUGUUAAACCAGCAUUAAAUUUAAACAUUUACAUUAUAGGUAGAGACUUUUUGUCCCCAUAAAUGAGGCGGAUCUGUGCAAACAGAUUUAUGCUGGGUGCAACAGGCGUCCACUAAAAACCCUGAAUUACUUCAUUACACCCUAACACCCUGCACCUGAAAUGCAGAAGUGAAACCCCUGAAAGAUACUUUCGUACUUUUGCAUUAAAGGUUUCUUACCAAAAAAUGUGGAGCAAUAUGUCGUUGUCAGUCAUCCAGGUCAUGGUGUGUGCAAAAAAAAAACUGAAACAAGAGAAACUGGAUAUCUGGUAGUUCUGGUAGUCAGUCAGAGCUAAAGAAGCUGCUUAGAUGAGUAGUAAAACAUCUUAAAAACUCCACGUUCAUUUUUUUUGGACAGACUAUGACCACCUGGAUGACUGACAACCUUCACAGACAUCCCUGAAAGAGCAAAUGAAGGAUCAAGAGCAGCUUUAUUUCAUGCACAUUUCACCUUAAACCCCACCUGAUAGUCCAGAUGAUUGGAAAACGCAAUCUAACAUUCGUAAACACCAACUCUUGAACCGCACAGACAGAUGAGAGAGGUUUUGCCGGCGGGAUUAAAACAAGAUGAAAGCUCUUAUUACUUCCAGUCUCGUCUGAUCUUUGUGUGAGUGUGGACGAUCGUAUCUCCGGAAGGUAAAACACAGUUCAGUCAAUUACCAAACAUUACAUGCAACAUUUGAUUCUGAUGGCAAACACUUGACACGAGAGUUGAGGUUGUCUCUCAAAACCCGCGUGGACAUGGACCUGGAGGCCUGCUAAUUAAAUUACCUGAAGUGGUUAUUCUCGCAGUGGAGCAGGAGUCUGGAAAGCUUCAGUGUUCUCCGGGUGUGCCCAAUGUGCUGUCUGCGAGUUAAUGUGUUUUACUGACAAUGGAUUGUUGACAUUUCGCAGACAUAGAUUUCACAGAUGUACAGCAGGCAUCCGUUUCCCCUCCAUGUCUUUCUCUUUAUCACUUUCUCUAUGGACGCACAUGUGGAAACUCAGCUGGAAAAAGGUAUUUGGUGACCAGCCAGCAGCCAUGUACGCACCAGCGAAGCCGCCCCGUGAACGUCUGAGUGGUAACCUACUUAACUCCGUGGAACUUUAUCGUCGCUUUCUUCAGAGGGAGGAAAAUCACAGAUCAUCUGCGCCAUCUCUUCCUGCUGUUACUCAUUUACAGCUGAACUAUCACCAAGCCCUCCAGCUCUCCCACACGCACCACAAAGACGCUCGAACGGAUUCCACACUGACAAAAGAGCGUGAUUGAUUUGCCACUAUCAGUCGCAGCCACAUACCAGCGUUGGCCUGUGACACUGUUGGUAUUCGUGUACAAAGGGAAAACAAAAAAAACCCAAAAAUCGAAAUAUCAGGAUAAUCAGCUUGUGCCGCUCUCUGUGAUAUACAUCUUCUAGUCCAUGCACAUGUGUGGUCUCCUCUCAGAGACCGGGAGCAGGAACAAAGAGACAUAUAUGCUAUGAAUCACUGCAAUUAAAUGUUUUAAUCUGGCAUUAAACCCCUGCAACGAAGACCAGCUGUGACGUUGCCACAAGUCGCCUGGUAAAAAGUUGCACUCGGACACAAAGAAUGCAGCCGACGACCCGCUGGCACACAUGUUCUUCAAGUAAAUGAGAGGAAAUAACUCUACAUACCAGCAGGUGGCAGUAGUCUGUGUUCGGGAAACAGGGAGACCAACGAUAAGCUAGGACACUAAUAUUAUCUCAGCAUAAACGAAAAAGCACUUCCAUUUACUUUACAUCCUGAUCUUCAGCAGCUCUGUGUCGCUUGUGAUUUGUAAUGUCAAAUCAAAUCAGUCUUUCUUUAUUUAGCACUUUUCCUGCAAAAAUGUAGCCCAAACAUAAAACAUUACAACAAGAAACAAAACCAAGCCUCCCCUCCCCCCAGUUAUAUUCCAAAGAGAUGUGCCCACUGUCUAUGCAACCAUAUAUUAUGCAAAUGAAGUUGCAUGCACUAACCAAGUCCGGAUAUUCUCGGUCUAAAAAUGUAACAUUUCUUGAAACAUUUUGAAAAUAAACUGAUGAUUAUAACUUUCGUGAA